CCUGGCUCAGGAUGAACGCUAGCGGCAGGCUUAACACAUGCAAGUCGAGGGGCAGCGCGGAGUAGCAAUACUCUGGCGGCGACCGGCGGAAGGGUGCGUAACGCGUGAGCAACAUGCCCGUAUCAGGAGGAUAACCGAUGGAAACGUCGCCUAAUACUCCAUAACAACAUGGGGGACAUCCCUUGUGUUUGAAAGCUUUGGCGGAUACGGAUUGGCUCGCGUGACAUUAGCUAGUUGGCGGGGUAACGGCCCACCAAGGCGACGAUGUCUAGGGGUUCUGAGAGGAAGGUCCCCCACACUGGAACUGAGACACGGUCCAGACUCCUACGGGAGGCAGCAGUGAGGAAUAUUGGUCAAUGGGCGGAAGCCUGAACCAGCCAUGCCGCGUGAUGGAAGGAGGCCCUAUGGGUCGUAAACAUCUUUUGUGCGGGAGCAAUAAGGGCCACGUGUGGUCCGAUGAGAGUACCGUACGAAUAAGCAUCGGCUAACUCCGUGCC
rnacentral:rRNA from 1 species